UGUACCAGUGUCGCCAGUAUUGCCACAGAGAGAAAACAAAGACUGUUGAUCAUCAAAAAUCUAAAGAUAGCAAAGAGUCGUCGCCGUCGAUGGGCGCGGCGUGGGAGACGCUGGUGCUGUUCGCGGUCAACUUCACGCGUCUCAACGUACACAUGAACAUGGGCAAUGUCAUGGGCAACGUCAGCUGGCAGUCGCGCGACUUCAACUGCUCGGGGCGGCUGAGUAUCGGCAGCACGGGGCACCGCAACAUGUUGCUCGGCGUGGCGCUGCAGC